rnacentral:tRNA from 1 species
GCCCCAAUGGCCAAAUGGGUAAGAAACUGGCCUCCUAAGCUGGGGAUGGUGGGUUCGAGUCCCAUCUUGGGUG